rnacentral:rRNA from 1 species
CUACGGGGGGCAGCAGUGAGGAAUAUUGCACAAUGGGGGGAACCCUGAUGCAGCAACGCCGCGUGGAGGAUGACGCAUUUCGGUGUGUAAACUCCUUUUAUAUGUCAAGAAAAUGACGGUAGCAUAUGAAUAAGCACCGGCUAACUCCGUGCCAGCAGCCGCGGUAAUACGGAGGGUGGAAGCGUUACUCGGAAUCACUGGGCGUAAAGGACGCGUAGGCGGGUUGGAAAGUCAGGUGUGAAAUCCUACAGCUUAACUGUAGAACUGAACUUGAAACUUCUAAUCUAGAGUAUGGGAGGGGGAGAUGGAAUUAGUGGUGUAGGGGUAACAUCCGUAGAUAUCACUAGGAAUACCUAAAGCGAAGGCGAUCUCCUGGAACAUUACUGACGCUAAGGCGUGAAAGCGUGGGGAGCAAACAGGAUUAGAUACCCCAGUAGUC